AAGUCGUAACAAGGUUUCCGUAGGUGAACCUGCGGAAGGAUCAUUAACACGUUAUCCACGUAUCAACCAACCGGUCAUUGUUUUCGCCUCUCCCUUGCGGAGUAAAUGAAUUGUGUAUUAACCUUCAACCGAGUAUGUCUGGGGUUCGCUUGCGAUCCAUCGGGUGAAGGCGAACCAGAGCUUGCUCUAGCAAUUGUAUUACUUUCCGAGGCUUACCGUUCUGUUCCAAUUUACCCAGAUUGCAAGUUGGGACAGGACAAAUAUUUUAACUAAAUUCACCCUUUUUUGCUAGUUGACUUUUAUCUGUAUAUUUCGCUUCGGCGUGGUAUGCACGUUUAUUUACUUAAACGUAAAAUUAUACAACUCUUAGCAAUGGAUAUCUCGGUUCUC
rnacentral:misc_RNA from 1 species